UAAAGAAUGUGGAUCAGUUGUUCUGGCAGGUGAUGUUCAUCAUGACAGCAUGGGGCAUUGUGCCAAGUACUGUGCCUAUACCGUCUUUUGUUGUUCCACGUCAUCCAUUAUUCACUUUUCCUUUGUUCAGGUUCGUAACUUAAAGUGGCUUGGAUUUCGAGUGCCACUUGCUAUUGUGAACAAAGCACAUCAAGCCAAUCAGCUGUAUCCAUUUGCCAUUUCUCUUAUUGAGAGUGUCUGCUCCUACGAAACAGCUUGAGAAAAGGUUACAAACAAGAAGACGAUAAAACCUUUGGUUGCUGGUCUAGAAAGAGAUAUUCAAAACUUGAUCAGUGAGGGUAUUGGUCUCACCUGGGAAUCUUACAAACUGGAUCCUUAUGUGCAAAAGUUUGCAGAUGCAAUCAUCAGCUUUCACGAAAAGGUUGAUGAUUUGUUGAUCAAUGUUGAAAGAAUUGAAG